UGGGGAAUAUUGCACAAUGGGCGAAAGCCUGAUGCAGCAACGCCGCGUGAGUGAUGAAGGUCUUCGGAUUGUAAAGCUCUGUCUUUUGGGACGAUAAUGACGGUACCAAAGGAGGAAGCCACGGCUAACUACGUGCCAGCAGCCGCGGUAAUACGUAGGUGGCGAGCGUUGUCCGGAUUUACUGGGCGUAAAGGGUGCGUAGGCGGAUGUUUAAGUGAGAUGUGAAAUACCCGGGCUUAACUUGGGUGCUGCACUUCAAACUGGAUAUCUAGAGUGCAGGAGAGGAGAAUGGAAUUCCUAGUGUAGCGGUGAAAUGCGUAGAGAUUAGGAAAAACACCAGUGGCGAAGGCGAUUCUCUGGACUGUAACUGACGCUGAGGCACGAAAGCGUGGGUAGCAAACAGGAUUAGAUAC
rnacentral:rRNA from 1 species